GGGGAUCUAGAGUUUGUGGGCUUUGCCCACUGUCUCUUACCCAUGUCUUUUGAGUACUUACGUUUCCUCGGUGGGCUCGCCCGCCGGUUGGACAAUUUAAACCAUUUGCAGUUGCAAUCAGCGUCUGAAAAACAUAAUAGUUACAACUUUCAACAACGGAUCUCUUGGUUCUGGCAUCGAUGAAGAACGCAGCGAAAUGCGAUAAGUAGUGUGAAUUGCAGAAUUCAGUGAAUCAUCGAAUCUUUGAACGCACAUUGCGCCCCUUGGUAUUCCAUGGGGCAUGCCUGUUCGAGCGUCAUUUGUACCUUCAAGCUCUGCUUGGUGUUGGGUGUUUGUCUCGCCUUGCGCGUAGACUCGCCUUAAAACAAUUGGCAGCCGGCGUAUUGAUUUCGGAGCGCAGUACAUCUCGCGCUUUGCACUCAUAACGACGACGUCCAAAAGUACUUUUUACACUCUUGACCUCGGAUCAGGUAGGGAUACCCGCUGAACUUAAGCAUAUCAAAGCGCGGAGGA
rnacentral:rRNA from 1 species